rnacentral:lncRNA from 1 species
CAUUGAUGAUCGUGACGUUACAAGCGUCCAGUCGGAUAGAGUAUUUUUUGGCAAAUACCCCGGCAGAGAGGGUAAAAAAGGCAAAUCCUUUUGGCAAAUACCCCGGCGGCGUAAAAAAUGAACAAUAUUCAUUUGAAAACAGUAAAUUGGUGAAAAAUACACUAGCUAUCAACCAAUCAAAAUCCAGGAUUCUUACAUAAGGU